GCUCCUGUGGCGCAAUCGGUUAGCGCACGGUAUACAGCAGUAUGCAGCAGAGCGAUGCCGAGGUUGUGAGUUCCAGCCUCACCUGGAGCA